rnacentral:lncRNA from 1 species
GCAUUAGGAAAAUGAAUAAAUUAGAAGUAUGCUCCAGCAAUUUACUCUUCCCAAGCAGCUAUCCUGCACGCUCUGCAGAGGAUGUCAAAACCUGCUGAUAUCUAGCAGAGUCAACUCCAAGUUUGUGUAUCCCGGUCCAUUCUACCUUUCCAUCAGGCAGUACAUGUGGAAAUGGAAAAAUAGCUCUCUAAUUAAUCAAAGUCAGAUCUGCCUGAACGCCUGGAGUUGCUGCUGAUCCUUGUCCCAGCUUCUACCAUGUUCUCUCUCUAUGUUUUUUACCUUGAAAACUUCUGCUCUGAGCUGGGAAUGCCUGAAGGGCUUGCACGGUCACAGGAUUUUGAGCUUCUCCUUCACUGAAAUCACUUCACUGAAAUACCUUGUCACAAAGACAGGAUGGCCACCCUUUUUUCUCACUCUGCUUCCCAGCCCUCCUUGUGGCCUGUAACUGGUCUCUGAAGAAAAUGCCUGAGCUGGGUGUGGAGAUCUACAUGGAAGCUGGCGUUGAAUGAUAGAAGGUGAAUACCUUCUCCUGGCUCAGAGAGGUCACUGCAGAGUGUCAUGGAUGUUCUCCAUCGGGAAAAGGGAAGACAUUUUCACUAAAGAUGCCUAUAUUGCACCUACUUUGUAGAAAAAGAGGGUUUUACUCUAUGAUGCUGCAUUACCACCCCUUCAAUAAAAUUUGAAAAUCUGCAAACUUCCUAAUCUUUGCACAAGCACUUAGCCAUGAGAUUUUUACUGCUACUAAUAGGAGUCUUUCAGCUAAAUCUCUACAUGUCUCUGUAAUUACCUACACAAGAAGUAAUGUUCUGUAAUACCAUUCAAUCUCUAUUUUCAUGUCAUGCCACAGUCUAAUAUUCCUCAGCCCAUGGCAAAUAUGCCUUCAGAAAAUAGCCUGAGAUAGGACAAAAUAAGAUCCAUGUUUAAGUAAGAAGCACUCAGUGAAACAGAAUCCUGUCUACUGACUUGAUACACCAGACCAUAAGGAUAUAAAAAGUGCAGGAAUGGUUUGUGCCAGAUACAGUCUCUAGUUGGAAAAUUUGGUUCUAAAAACCCAUGAGAAAAAGAA